AGUGAACGCUGGCGGUAGGCCUAACACAUGCAAGUCGAACGGCAGCACAGUAAGAGCUUGCUCUUACGGGUGGCGAGUGGCGGACGGGUGAGGAAUACAUCGGAAUCUACUUUUUCGUGGGGGAUAACGUAGGGAAACUUACGCUAAUACCGCAUACGACCUACGGGUGAAAGCAGUGGAUCUUCGGACUUUGCGCGAUUGAAUGAGCCGAUGUCGGAUUAGCUAGUUGGCGGGGUAAAGGCCCACCAAGGCGACGAUCCGUAGCUGGUCUGAGAGGAUGAUCAGCCACACUGGAACUGAGACACGGUCCAGACUCCUACGGGAGGCAGCAGUGGGGAAUAUUGGACAAUGGGCGAAAGCCUGAUCCAGCCAUACCGCGUGGGUGAAGAAGGCCUUCGGGUUGUAAAGCCCUUUUGUUGGGAAAGAAAAGCAGCAGGUUAAUACCCCGCUGUUCUGACGGUACCCAAAGAAUAAGCACCGGCUAACUUCGUG
rnacentral:rRNA from 1 species